rnacentral:lncRNA from 1 species
AGACCAUAGUUGAUUAUGAGUACUUGGUUGACCACAAGAGAAUAUAUUAGGGCUGAAUAAGACUUUAAUGAACAUCUUGACCUGAAUCCCAAAUGUUGUGACAGAGGAAAUUUGAGAUUGAAAACAUUCCCAGGGGCCUGACUUUAAUUGUAACCUGGGCACUGGACUGUCAGUGCUGUCUGACUUCAGAAUUGCCAACUGACUUGAUGGAUCUACAAUGAACAGCCUUUUCAUAGAUGACUACAUGACAUCUGAGUAUUCCACAGAAGGUUGAGGAGUAGGAAAAGAAGAAAUUGCAAUAGUCCAUCUCUGCUGGUCACCUGUGGAAAUCCUCUUCAUGUUCCUCUGACUAGUUCCUGACCCCAAACAAAGAUGUAAUCAACAUUGAUAAACUUGUUACCGAACACCUACUUCCAAUAUGACUGUUCAUCUCUUCUGGAAAAAAAAUGAACAUCAUGAAGUGUGAGCAUUAAGAGGCCAUUUGUGGGAUUAUUGGAUGUUUUUGAAUGCUAGAGUCCAACCUCUGACUCAUAAGCCCAGAAAACCACUGCCUGUUUUGAGCAAGCAAGUGGCAUGAUAAAAAAGUUCUACCAAGAUGUAGUUGGCAGCUUAAUGCAAGACUGGUUGACUAGACGAAGUCUGGAGGGAAAUAGAUUUUGUAGGGGAAAGCUGGAGGGUCUAUGUGAAACCAUAUAGAAGG